CUAGUAAUCGCGGAUCAGCAUGCCGCGGUGAAUACGUUCCCGGGCCUUGUACACACCGCCCGUCACACCAUGAGAGUCGGGAACACCCGAAGUCCGUAGCCUAACCGCAAGGGGGGCGCGGCCGAAGGUGGGUUCGAUAAUUGGGGUGAAGUCGUAACAAGGUAGC
rnacentral:rRNA from 1 species